rnacentral:rRNA from 1 species
AGCCGCGGUAACACCAGCUCCACAAGCGUAUAUUAAUGUUGUUGCAGUUAAAAAGCUCGUAGUUGGAUAUCUGUCAUGACGGACCUGGUCCGGCUUCCCUGAUGGGUUGCUGUGUGCCGGUUUCGGUGUCCGGUUGUCGCGCUCGUUGUCGGGUUGGCCUUCGGGUUGAUCGGGCGAGUUGUGCUCCGUGUACACUUGUUCGUCGGACAUCCUUCAGGAGAACCGCUCUGCCAUUCACUUGGUUGGGGCGAGGAUCCUGAUCGUUUACUUUGAAAAAACUUAGAGUGUUUAACGCAGGCUUCAUUGUCGCGAAUAGAUUAGCAUGGAAUAAUAAGAUAGGACUUCGGCACCGCUGGUGAUUGCCGGUUGUGGCGUGGCCUUGUGUCRCGUCUGCGACUGGACC